ACACAUGCAAGUCGAGCGAGGAAUGUCGGAUAGCUUGCUAUUUGAUAUUUCUAGCGGCGGACGGGUGAGUAACGCGUGAGUAACCUGCCUUUAUCAGGGGGAUAACGCAUCGAAAGAUGUGCUAAUACCGCGUAAGACCACAGCCUCACAUGGGGCAGGGGUCAAAGGAGCAAUCCGGAUAAAGAUGGGCUCGCGUCCGAUUAGCUAGUUGGUGAGAUAACAGCCCACCAAGGCGACGAUCGGUAGCCGACCUGAGAGGGUGAUCGGCCACAUUGGAACUGAGAGACGGUCCAGACUCCUACGGGAGGCAGCAGUGGGGAAUAUUGGGCAAUGGGCGAAAGCCUGACCCAGCAACGCCGCGUGAGGGAAGAAGGGUUUCGGCUCGUAAACCUCUGUCCUAUGGGACGAAGGAAGUGACGGUACCAUAGGAGGAAGCCCCGGCUAACUACGUGCCAGCAGCCGCGGUAAUACGUAGGGGGCGAGCGUUGUCCGGAAUGAUUGGGCGUAAAGGGCGCGUAGGCGGCCUGCUAAGUCUGAAGUGAAAGUCCUGCUUUCAAGGUGGGAAGUGCUUUGGAUACUGGUGGGCUGGAGUGCAGGAGAGGAAAGCGGAAUUACCGGUGUAGCGGUGAAAUGCGUAGAGAUCGGUAGGAACACCAGUGGCGAAGGCGGCUUUCUGGACUGAAACUGACGCUGAGGCGCGAAAGCGUGGGGAGCAAACAGGAUUAGAUACCCUGGUAGUCCACGCGGUAAACGAUGAAUGCUAGGUGUAGGAGGUAUCGACCCCUUCUGUGCCGCAGUAAACACAAUAAGCAUUCCGCCUGGGG
rnacentral:rRNA from 1 species